rnacentral:rRNA from 1 species
UACGUAGGUGGCGAGCGUUAUCCGGAUUUAUUGGGUUUAAAGGGUGCGUAGGCGGACUGUUAAGUCAGCGGUCAAAGCCCGGGGCUCAACCCCGGCCCGCCGUUGAAACUGGCAGUCUCGAGUUGGAGAGAAGUAUGCGGAAUGCGCGGUGUAGCGGUGAAAUGCAUAGAUAUCGCGCAGAACCCCGAUUGCGAAGGCAGCCUGCCGGCCCCACACUGACGCUGAGGCACGAAAGCGUGGGUAUCGAACAGG